rnacentral:rRNA from 1 species
GACGAACGCUGGCGGCGUGCUUAACACAUGCAAGUCGAACGAAGAGCGAUGGAAGCUUGCUUCUAUCAAUCUUAGUGGCGAACGGGUGAGUAACGCGUAAUCAACCUGCCCUUCAGAGGGGGACAACAGUUGGAAACGACUGCUAAUACCGCAUACGAUCUAAUCUCGGCAUCGAGGAUAGAUGAAAGGUGGCCUCUACAUGUAAGCUAUCACUGAAGGAGGGGAUUGCGUCUGAUUAGCUAGUUGGAGGGGUAACGGCCCACCAAGGCGAUGAUCAGUAGCCGGUCUGAGAGGAUGAACGGCCACAUUGGGACUGAGACACGGCCCAGACUCCUACGGGAGGCAGCAGUGGGGAAUCUUCCGCAAUGGACAAAAGUCUGACGGAGCAACGCCGCGUGAGUGAUGACGGCCUUCGGGUUGUAAAGCUCUGUUAAUCGGGACGAAAGGCCUUCUUGCGAACAGUUAGAAGGAUUGACGGUACCGGAAGAGAAAGCCACGGCUAACUACGUG